AAUUAGUUGUUUAACUGUGGCAAAAGGAAGUUUGUGUUUUAUAAGCUGCAUAAAAUUAUUUUAUUUUUGAUUUACUUUAGAAUUAUUUAUUUUAUUUAGCAGUUAGUAUUUUGUUAAAAUGAAGGUUUUAGAAGAAUGAGACAUUAGAAGGGGAUAGGACACAGUGCCAGCAUCUGCGGUUAAUCUGUUUUCUUUGCUUUUAUCUAGAUUGUGUGUGUUUAUUUAUAAUUAAAAAUAGGUUAAAUUUUUUUAUUUAAAUUUUAAAUAUACAUUUUUUUAUAAAAUUUAUGUUUGUGACAGGGAUUAGAUACCCCAUUAAUGUAUUUUGUAAUAUUAUCUUAGUUUAGUAACUAAAAUGGUUUGGCAGUGAGUGAUUCUUUUUAGGGGAAGGUGUAGUGUAAAGGAUGUUCCGCCUAUUAAUUUACUUUUAUUAUGUUGGUGUAUAUCUGGUUUGAUAUUAUUGUUGAAUAGUAUAAUUUGUGUAGUGUUAGUUAAGCCAAGUCUAUGUGCUGCUUAUAAAAGUAUUUAUGCGUUACUUUGAUAAAGUUUUAGUUGUAAUACUAUUAUAUAUUUAGGACUUAAGAGUAAUAUCAAAUUAGUUUGUUGAUGUGAAAUAAGUUUAACUCAUGUACACACCGCCCGUCACCCUCGAUUAUUAUUGAGGUAAGUCGUAACAAGGUAACUUUAAAUGAAUUUGAAGUUGGU
rnacentral:ncRNA from 1 species